UGGAGAUAAAGUAGGGAGGGAAGAGAGAAUCCAAAAAUGUGGCUCUCUUGUAUCUCACCUUUAUUUAAGGAAAAGGGGGGAAAAAAGGAUCGUCGAGAAGCAAGAAGAGAAGGAAGAAGAAAAAGAAAGAGAAAAAGAAGAGGGAUCGAAAGAGGUUACAUACAUGGUCUUACUCCUCCACUAGUGAUCAAAUUGAAGCAUUGAAAGAGAGAUUUAGUUGCUCUAAAAAAGUUCUAAAAAUCUAGAAUUUUAAUUUCUCUAUUCUAGCAUCCAAUUUAGACUAAGAUGGUGAUCCAGGGAACUAUCCCAAGACUGUGAUCGAGGAGCCAGCUCUUUAUGGAGACGAUCUUUGGGUCAAGGAGUUGGUUACACACAAGACAGGCUGAUGUUCGAUGAUUGUGUCUUUGGGGCACCUUGAGGAUGAUAUUAUCAAUCUUCCCUUUUGAUUCUCUUGUGUACUUAUUUGAUGUAGCCCUAGGGGCAUUAUUAUAAUUAUGUUAUGUCUGGAGUAAACCUUCUUUUGUGUAUUUAUGGUAAUAUCAUUAGAAUUCACCAGC